rnacentral:rRNA from 1 species
UACGAAGGGUGCUAGCGUUGUUCGGAAUCACUGGGCGUAAAGCGCGCGUAGGCGGUUACUCAAGUCAGGGGUGAAAUCCUGAGGCUCAACCUCAGAAUUGCCUUUGAAACUGUGUGACUGGAGUGUCGGAGGGGAUAGCGGAAUUGCUAAUGUAGCGGUGAAAUGCGUAGAUAUUAGCAGGAACACCGGUGGCGAAGGCGGCUAUCUGGACGACAACUGACGCUGAGGCGCGAAAGCGCGGGGAUCAAACAGG